rnacentral:rRNA from 1 species
CGCUAGCGACAGGCCUAACACAUGCAAGUCGAGGGGCAGCACAAGGAGCAAUCUGAGGUGGCGACCGGCGCACGGGUGAGUAACACGUAUGCAACCUGCCUGUAAGCGGGGAAUAACCCGUUGAAAGACGGACUAAUACCGCAUAAUACUAAAUUACUGCAUGGUAAUUUAUUUAAACAUUUAUGGCUUACAGAUGGGCAUGCGCAUGAUUAGCUAGUUGGAGAGGUAACGGCUCCCCAAGGCAACGAUCAUUAGGGGUUCUGAGAGGAAGGUCCCCCCACACUGGUACUGAGACACGGACCAGACUCCUACGGGAGGCAGCAGUGAGGAAUAUUGGUCAAUGGACGAGAGUCUGAACCAGCCAAGUCGCGUGCAGGAAGAAUUGUCCUAUGGAUUGUAAACUGCUUUUGCAGGGGAAUAAAGUGCAUCACGUGUGAUGUUUUGUAUGUACUCUGCGAAUAAGGAUCGGCUAACUCCGUGCCAGCCGCGGC